CUCACUCACCACUCCUUCACACUCUCCUCCACAUCUCCACCACGAGCUGCUGCUCCUCCCUAGCUCCAUGGCCGGCCAUGGCCAUGGAAAGCCACCAAGAUGAAGCUCCCCCCCUUCCUCAAGCUUCCCCUCACCAUGAGAGCAUCCCUCUCACUCUCUUCUCUCCUAAUCUUUGAUGAAUCCAGCCCUAUUUCUCAUUUCUCCUCUCACAAUAUUGGAUCUUGAUGCAGGUGCAUGUUGGUCCAAGCAUGGAGAAGAUUCUGGUACGAUCUUGUAAAAUCCGCCAAAUCUCGUGUGCAGAUCCAAAUCGAGUGAUUCAAAGUUCCGCAGAUAGGUAUUGAAAGGAUCUACGACUUGGCGUUGGUAUCAUCCUCAAAUUCUUUACGGAUUUUGCAUGAUCAAGAUCUGGUCAGAUCUGACUUUGUCGAAUUAAACCAGGAGCUUGGAAACGAAUUUUUGAAUGAAAACAAUUGGGGGAUAAUUGGUUUACACCAUGGGGAUAACCGAGAGAGGCAAUUGCUAAGUUGUGAUGCACUCAUGCCUCUACUAGAUGCGAACAAUUCCGGAGAAGAAGAAGAAGUGGAAUCGGACGAGGAUUUUAUUUAUAUAUGUUGUUGGAAUUCUUAUAUUGAUGGAGUUGAAGAAGUCCGGGGACAAAUUAAGCCAAG